rnacentral:rRNA from 1 species
GUGCAGUCGAGGGGUAACAUGAUCCCGAGCAAUCGGGAUUGAUGACGACCGGCGUACGGGUGAGUAACGCGUAUGCAACCUACCCUGUACUGGGGGAUAGCCCGGAGAAAUUCGGAUUAAUACCCCAUAAAGAUAUAAGAAGGCAUCUUUAGAUAUUUAAAGUUUCGACGGUACGGGAUGGGCAUGCGUAACAUUAGCUAGUUGGUAGGGUAACGGCCUACCAAGGCGACGAUGUUUAGGGGUCCUGAGAGGGUGAUCCCCCACACUGGUACUGAGACACGGACCAGACUCCUACGGGAGGCAGCAGUGAGGAAUAUUGGUCAAUGGGCGCAAGCCUGAACCAGCCAUCCCGCGUGCAGGAAGACGGCGCUAUGCGUUGUAAACUGCUUUUCCAGAGGAAGAAAACCCCUGACGUGUCGGGGCUUGCCGGUACUCUGGGAAUAAGCAUCGGCUAACUCCGUGCCAGCAGCCGCGGUAAUACGGAGGAUGCGAGCGUUAUCCGGAUUUAUUGGGUUUAAAGGGUGCGUAGGCGGAUCAAUAAGUCAGUGGUGAAAACCUUCAGCUUAACUGGAGACUUGCCAUUGAUACUGUUAGUCUUGAGUACGGUCAAGGUAGGCGGAAUGUGUAAUGUAGCGGUGAAAUGCUUAGAUAUUACACAGAACACCGAUUGCGAAGGCAGCUUACUGGGCCAUUACUGACGCUGAUGCACGAAAGCGUGGGGAGCGAACAGGAUUAGAUACCCUGGUAGUCCACGCCGUAACGAUGAUCACUCGCUGUUGGCGAUACACAGUCAGCGGCUAAGCAAAAGCAUUAAGUGAUCCACCUGGGGAGUACGGCCGCAAGGCUGAAACUCAAAGGAAUUGACGGGGGCCCGCACAAGCGGAGGAACAUGUGGUUUAAUUCGAUGAUACGCGAGGAACCUUACCUGGGCUUAAAUGUAGAGUGCAUGAAGUAGAAAUAUUUCUUUCCUUCGGGACUCUUUGCAAGGUGCUGCAUGGUUGUCGUCAGCUCGUGCCGUGAGGUGUUGGGUUAAGUCCCGCAACGAGCGCA